CCGCCCAGAUUCUGAAGUGUUCAUCCGAUGGACACUCUUCUAUCCCAGGAGGCCACGGGAGAGGAUACGUCACACUCGAACACGGAGGAGAAAAGCGGCGCGGAUGUUUUCAAAUGGACAGAUGAUCACGUGUGUUUAUCCAGUGGAGAGAGGCUGAUGAAGGAAUGAUGGCGUCAAUGGCUUUGAAGCUUUGUGGAGCAGGACCUGCAAGGCAAGAUGACGGCGGCAUUUGUGGGGGAAAGAAACCUGAAUAAUGACUGAAUUGAUAUGUUUGGGUGAACUAACCCUUUAAGCCCCCAAAUAGAAACUGGAUGAUCCCCAUGGAGUAACCUGGAGUAAAGUUGAUUAAGGACGGUGACAGCUGCGGAGAUCGAACCAGCAACCUUCUGCUUACCUUUAGCCCACUACACCACUAAAAUAAUAAAGCUGAAACAAAAAAUAUAGCACGUAAUUGUAAAAAUAUUGAAUGAAAUAUGGCAGGAAACAGAAUUCUGACAUGAAUUAUUAAACGUUUCAAUCAGUUUAAAUGUUUUACAUGUAGUCUUGUUCAUGGAGAGCACAUGAAUGUUUGGAGCAGACACAGCAGCAGCCAGAUUGACCUGCACAUCUUCUCCCACUCCUGCUUCAAGGUUGUGGGGUUCAGGGGUCCAUCAUCUUCCUCAUCCUCUGGAUCAGAGAUGACCCCAUUGAGAGGAGCAGCAACGAGGGACAUUAUAGAUGGCAAAGACAGGUGAAGGUGUUCAUGGUGGUCAGCUGCUUCAUCAAAAUAAAGCUGCAGAAUUGGCACAUCUGUGUGAGAUGGCAGAAGGGCUGAAA